rnacentral:rRNA from 1 species
GUUAUAUGGUCAAGCGAAUAAGCGCACACGGUGGAUGCCUUGGCGGUCAGAGGCGAUGAAGGACGUGGCAGCCUGCGAAAAGUAUCGGGGAGCUGGCAACAAGCUUUGAUCCGGUAAUGUCCGAAUGGGGAAACCCACCCGCUUGCGGGUAUCCUGCAGUGAAUACAUAGCUGCUGGAAGCGAACCUGGUGAACUGAAAUAUCUAAGUAACCAGAGGAAAAGAAAUCAACCGAGAUUCCGUAAGUAGCGACGAGCGAACGCGGACUAGCCCUUAAGCUGGAUUGGUUCUAGGAAAACGCUCUGGAAAGAGCGGCCAUAGAAGGUGAUAGCCCUGUAUCUGAAAGGGCCAUUCCAGUGAAGACGAGUAGGGCGGGGCACGUGAAACCCUGUCUGAACAUGGGGGGACCAUCCUCCAAGGCUAAAUACUACUGACCGACCGAUAGUGAACCAGUACCGUGAGGGAAAGGCGAAAAGAACCCCGGAGAGGGGAGUGAAAUAGAACCUGAAACCGUGUGCGUACAAGCAGUAGGAGCUCCGCAAGGAGUGACUGCGUACCUUUUGUAUAAUGGGUCAGCGACUUACUGUUCGUGGCAAGCUUAACCGUAUAGGGGAGGCGAAGGGAAACCGAGUCUGAUAAGGGCGCAUAGUCGCGGGCAGUAGACCCGAAACCGGGUGAUCUAGUCAUGCCCAGGGUGAAGGUGCGGUAACACGCACUGGAGGCCCGAACCCACUCCCGUUGCAAAGGUAGGGGAUGAGGUGUGAUUAGGAGUGAAAAGCUAAUCGAACCCGGAGAUAGCUGGUUCUCCUCGAAAGCUAUUUAGGUAGCGCCUCAUAUGUAUCCUCUCGGGGGUAGAGCACUGUUAUGGCUAGGGGGUCAUCGCGACUUACCAAACCAUUGCAAACUCCGAAUACCGAGACGGACUGUAUGGGAGACACACGGCGGGUGCUAACGUCCGUCGUGAAAAGGGAAACAACCCAGACCCACAGCUAAGGUCCCAAAUUCACUGCUAAGUGGAAAACCAUGUGGAAAGGCACAGACAGCCAGGAGGUUGGCUUAGAAGCAGCCACCCUUUAAAGAAAGCGUAAUAGCUCACUGGUCGAGUCGGUCUGCGGGGAAGAUUUAACGGGGCUAAGCAGUGAACCGAAGCUUGGGGUGCAUACUUUGUAUGCGCGGUAGAGGAGCGUUCCGUAAGCCGUUGAAGGUGGAUUGAGAAGUCUGCUGGAGGUAUCGGAAGUGCGAAUGCUGACAUGAGUAACGAUAAUGCGGGUGAAAAACCCGCACGCCGAAAGCCCAAGGUUUCCUUGCGCAACGUUAAUCGGCGCAGGGUGAGUCGGCCCCUAAGGCGAGGACGAAAGUCGUAGUCGAUGGGAAGCAGGUUAAUAUUCCUGCACCUCGCGUAAGUGCGAUGGAGGGACGGAGAAGGUUAGGUGUACCAGGCGUUGGUUGUCCUGGGGAAAGGCGGUAGGUUUGGAUCUUUGGCAAAUCCGGGAUCCUUUAAGACCGAGCACCGAGACGAGCCUUUAAGGCGAAGUCACUGAUACCACGCUUCCAGGAAAAGCUCCUAAGCUUCAGCUUACGCAGACCGUACCGUAAACCGACACAGGUGGGUAGGAUGAGAAUUCUCAGGCGCUUGAGAGAACUCGGGUGAAGGAACUAGGCAACAUGGCACCGUAACUUCGGGAGAAGGUGCACCCUUUUUGGUGGCUCGUGCGAGCUAUAGCUGAAGAGGGUCGCAGUAACCAGGCCGCUGCGACUGUUUAUCAAAAACACAGCACUCUGCAAACACGAAAGUGGACGUAUAGGGUGUGACGCCUGCCCGGUGCUGGAAGGUUAAUUGAUGGGGUCAGCCGCAAGGCGAAGCUCUUGAUCGAAGCCCCAGUAAACGGCGGCCGUAACUAUAACGGUCCUAAGGUAGCGAAAUUCCUUGUCGGGUAAGUUCCGACCUGCACGAAUGGCGUAACGACAGCGGCGCUGUCUCCACCCGAGACUCAGUGAAAUUGAAAUCGCUGUGAAGAUGCAGCGUUCCCGUGGCAAGACGGAAAGACCCCGUGAACCUUUACUAUAGCUUUACACUGAACGUUGAGUUCGUCUGUGUAGGAUAGGUGGGAGGCUAUGAAACCAUGGCGCUAGCUGUGGCGGAGCCAUCCUUGAAAUACCACCCUGUCGUGCUUGACGUUCUAACCUGGGCCCAUUAUCUGGGUCGGGGACCGUGUAUGGUGGGUAGUUUGACUGGGGCGGUCUCCUCCUAAAGAGUAACGGAGGAGCUCGAAGGUACGCUCAGCGCGGUCGGACAUCGCGCACUGUGUGCAAAGGCAUAAGCGUGCUUGACUGCAAGAUCGACGGAUCAAGCAGGUAGGAAACUAGGACUUAGUGAUCCGGUGGUUCUGUAUGGAAGGGCCAUCGCUCAACGGAUAAAAGGUACUCCGGGGAUAACAGGCUGAUACCGCCCAAGAGUUCAUAUCGACGGCGGUGUUUGGCACCUCGAUGUCGGCUCAUCACAUCCUGGGGCUGUAGUCGGUCCCAAGGGUAUGGCUGUUCGCCAUUUAAAGUGGUACGCGAGCUGGGUUCAGAACGUCGUGAGACAGUUCGGUCCCUAUCUGCCAUGGGCGUUGGAGAUUUGAGAGGGGCUGCUCCUAGUACGAGAGGACCGGAGUGGACGAACCUCUGGUGUUCCGGUUGUCACGCCAGUGGCAUUGCCGGGUAGCUAUGUUCGGAAGCGAUAACCGCUGAAAGCAUCUAAGCGGGAAGCGCGCCUCAAGAUGAGAUCUCCCGGGGCACAAGCCCCCUGAAGGAACCAUGUAGACUACGUGGUUGAUAGGUCAGGUGUGUAAGUACAGCAAUGUAUUGAGCUAACUGAUACUAAUGAUCCGUGCGGCUUGACCAUAUAACCU